AGGGAUCGAGUUAAGGGUAGGCCAAGAAAGUUUGCAUAACAAUUAGAUAAUCAAGCACAUUAAACAAGAGGAGUAGAUAAGAGGGAGCGAAUAAGAUGAAAUUGUAAACCCCCAACAACUCCAUUCAUCCAUAGUCUUUUUCGUCAAUUGAAUCAACCACAUUGAAUGUUUAUUUUUUGUCUUUGCAUUCACAACAAUUAAUUCUUUUUCUACAAGUCUUACGAUUUUGAUUCACACAACGAGCCUUUCGAGUCUCUUGGGAAGAACGAUAUCGGGCAUUACCGAUUAUAUUAUUUGCACGAUCUGGUACACUUGCCAGUGAGUCAACAAUAAUAAUAUAUUUUUUCUUGUUUUUAUUCUUCUUCUUAUUCUUCUCCAUAUUCCUCUCCUUAUUCUUUUCCUUAUUCUUCUCCUUACUCUUCUCCUCAUUCUUCUCCUUCUCCUCAUCUUUCCAUCUUUUUAUCUUUCUAUCUUUCUGUCUAUUUUUCUUUCUAUCUUUUUAUUUUAUCUUUCUAUCUUGUUAUUCAAAAAG
rnacentral:lncRNA from 1 species